GCCGCUGGUCCGCCGCUGACGGCCGCACACGGCGAAUGUAGCGAGCCACGCGCAAAUCGCCGGCGGCGACGGCCUCGCUAAAGGCCCGACGCGCUGCAGCGUCGGCAUCGGCAGUGGCCAGGAUGAGGUCGGCCAUAUCGGUGCGCCGAGCCAGCAGGGCCAAUGAGAGGGCUGAAACUCGGUUUUGCCAAAGGGGUGACCACGCCUCGGCUGUCGCCACUGGGAACCCGCGCUCGCAUAGCCAGCGCACGCAUUCGGCGUGACCGCCAACGACCGCAGUGGCGACCGCAUUCGAGCCGCGCACGACUACAUCCGGUGCAGCGGGUGUGCCCCACAUACGCUCCAAAAUGCGGUUGUGUCCACUGCCGGCGGCGGCCUCGACAAUGACGGUCCACAUGUGCGCCCAACGACCAUCGGUGUAAAUGUCCACUAUGGCCGACGUCCUUGCGUCAAAGCAGCCCAACGCAUCGAGCAGAUCGAUGCGCCCGGCUUUGACAGACGCGCGCGCGACAUUGGCGACGACCCGUCCUGCGAUGCAAGAGGAUAGGCCUGUGUGUGUGGCAGGGUUGGUCAUGAUGUUUGCUGCCGCGUCGAGACGCCCUGCGCGGAUGAGAUCGUUGACAAUCUGCGGCUGCACGGCCUCGGCGAGCCGACGCGCAAUACUCUGGGCAACGUCAACAUCGCCGCCUAGACGACAUGUGCGCUCCUCGAUGUCGAGUCGCACCAACGACUCGGCGCGUUCGAUGUCUGGCGGCGGUUCAUCAUUCCAGCACAGCCACUUGGACAGGCGCGCCCACCCUCCACCCAACUCCUCGCAGCGCCGUACGGUCGCCGCCUUUGCCUCGGGGGGUGUGUGUCUCAAUAUCUCGUGGAGGCGACCCAAUGCUUGCCUUGCAUACGACGUGAUCGGCGCUUCACGACCGACGAGGAGCACGACGGAUACCAUUGCGCACAAGAGUGGAUCUUGUGUUUCGAGGGCGCUCACGCGCGCGUCUUCCCAUGGUCGCACCCUGCCGGGUAUGCUGACAUGCUCGACGAUCCAGGCAACUACGUGAUGGUUGCCCCUCAAUCCUGCCUCGCUGAGGCAUAAGGGCCAGUUGAUUGGCGGCGCCGACGCCGGCCGAUGGGCCAUGGCGUAUUCGAGACCGCCCAUGUCGCCCGCAGCACACAUGCCCUCGACGGUGGCGUCGGCAUAGAAACGCGCAGCAAGAUCGGCCGAUGUCAGAGCGUGAAAGCAGCGAGCGGCACAGAGGCACGCGUAGAGGUCGCGGUCGGAUGGACAGCGCAAGAGCACCUCGCGCCACAAUUCGGGCGGCAGUGUGUCCCAUGGUGGGGCAUGGCUCUCGCCCAUUCCCAACGUCAUCGCCGUCGUCAUCAGUUAAAAAUAAAGGAUUGUAAACUUUUG
rnacentral:lncRNA from 1 species